CAGGGGGACGUUGGGAUUGGGGUGGCUUGGAUGCAAAUCCCCGCCUGGAGUUUAACUUAAAGGACUGCCCGCGUCGGCAGGAGGGGAAAUAGCUGGGCGAGGAGCACGUGGAGGGAGAAGGGGAAUCCCAGGCACGGUUUAGCCUGCCCUGCUUUGUUUUCGAGGCGUCCCUCCUCUCCUCCGUAGGGCAUCCCGUGCCGACGGCCCUCGGAUGGAGCCUCACGUCCUCCUUUUUUCUCCCUUUCUUCGCAGCCUACCCAUGAGCUCGGAUUUCCAGCAUUACAGUUUCAGGAUGCCGAACAUCGGGUUCCAGAACCUGCCUCUCAACAUAUACAUCGUGGUUUUCGGCACGGCCAUCUUCGUCUUCAUCCUCAGUUUACUCUUCUGCUGCUACCUGAUCAGGCUCAGACAUCAAGCACACAAAGAGCUUUACGCCUACAAGCAGGUUAUUCUCAAGGAGAAGGUGAAGGAGCUGAACCUCCACGAGAUCUGCGCCGUCUGCUUGGAGGAGUUCAAGCCCAAGGACGAGCUGGGGAUCUGUCCGUGCAAACAUGCCUUCCACAGAAAGUGCCUCAUCAAAUGGCUGGAGGUGCGGAAAGUGUGCCCGCUCUGCAACAUGCCGGUGCUGCAGCUGGCCCAGCUGCACAGCAAGCAGGACCCCGGCCCCCCCCAGGGCCCCCUCCCGGGCGCGGAGAACCUCGUAUAGCUCCGCGCCCGCACGGACUUGCCCCGGCGCUGGGGUGGGGGGAACCCCGAGCACCCGGAGACGACAACCAAAGCACUACGGCACCAGCACGGAGCGAGGGCCGGGGACGGACGGACGGACGGACGGACAGACGGACGGGGAGCUGAGAGCACUUUAGGAGGGAGCGCGUCCCCCCCCCUCAUCCCGCGCUGGUCCUCAGAAUGAGGAAGGUCCAGGCCCCUCGGGCUUCGAAGAUACCUUGCUUCGCGCUUCGCGCUGCUCCCAGCACAGCUGACACGACGGCCUUUAGAGGGGCCUCACACAGGAUCUAAUCUAGGAAAGAACACAGCUGAAAGGACCGCUUCUUCCCUUCUCAGCCCCAAAUGAGAGGCAGGUGCCACGCAAUGAGCCCAGCCAGCUGCGGAGUGCCGGGGCCGCAGCAAGAGCUCGAGGGACGGACGCGAUUUCGCGGUGCAGCCCCGGUGCCUCCGCUGCGCGUUCCUCCGGCCCCCGGUCACCCAACGGCACGGCUGCCCGGUGCCGUGCCUCCCCCUCGAGAUGUCCAUCGGGACCAGAGAGCUGAAAAUCGACGUCUCUGAGAAGAAACCGCGCCUUCAGGAGAUGUGGUCGGCGAGGAUGUCGGGCAUUCGGGGCAACGGGAGCCCUCACCCGGCUCCCGGACGGAGGCUGUGCGCUUUUAGCAGUUACGGGGCUGGGGAGCCAAAGCAGGAGGCAGCAGAGAAGAGGCCGAAGCUGCGCCUCCGUUUUUAACUGCCACCAGCGAGGCGAGGUGCUGAGGGCUCUCCAGAAAAGCAGCUUGUUCACACUGCCUGCCUCGGGUUAUACUGAGCCAAGUAAAGAUGGCAGCGCGGAAAGGAGAACGCUACCAACGCCCUU